CUACAGGCCAAAAUUGUCCUCAGGUCAG
rnacentral:piRNA from 1 species